GGGGUAAUGGCCUACCAAGACGAUGAUGUGUAGCCGGGCUGAGAGGUCGAACGGCCACAUUGGGACUGAGACACGGCCCAAACUCCUACGGGAGGCAGCAGUAAGGAAUUUUCGGCAAUGGAGGAAACUCUGACCGAGCAAUGCCGCGUGAACGAUGAAGUAUUUCGGUACGUAAAGCUCUUUUAUUAGGGAAGAAAAGAUGGUGGAAAAACCAUUAUGACGGUACCUAAUGAAUAAGCCCCGGCUAACUAUGUGCCAGCAGCCGCGGUAAUACAUAGGGGGCAAGCGUUAUCCGGAAUUAUUGGGCGUAAAGGGUGCGUAGGCGGUUAAAUAAGUUUAUGGUCUAAGUGCAACGCUCAACGUUGUGAUGCUAUAAAAACUGUUUAGCUAGAGUUGGAUAGAGGCAAGUGGAAUUCCGUGUGUAGUGGUAAAAUGCGUAAAUAUACGGAGGAACACCAGAAGCGAAGGCGGCUUGCUGGGUCUUAACUGACGCUGAGGCACGAAAGCGUGGGGAGCAAACAGGAUUAGAUACCCUGGUAGUCCACGCCCUAAACGAUGAGUACUAAACGUUGGAUAAAACCAGUGUUGAAGUUAACACAUUAAGUACUCCGCCUGAGUAGUACGUACGCAAGUAUGAAACUUAAAGGAAUUGACGGGACUCCGCACAAGCGGUGGAUCAUGUUGUUUAAUUCGAAGGUACCCGAAAAACCUCACCAGGUCUUGACAUGCUUUUGCAAAGCUGUAGAAAUACAGUGGAGGUUAUCAGAAGCACAGGUGGUGCAUGGUUGUCGUCAGCUCGUGUCGUGAGAUGUUGGGUUAAGUCCCGCAACGAGCGCAACCCUUGUUGUUAAUUGCCAUCAUUACGUUGGGGACUUUAGCAAGACUGCCAAUGAUAAAUUGGAGGAAGGUGGGGACGACGUCAAAUCAUCAUGCCCCUUAUGACCUGGGCUACAAACGUGAUACAAUG
rnacentral:rRNA from 1 species